GACGAACGCUGGCGGCAUGCCUAAUACAUGCAAGUCGAGCGAACAGAUGAAGUGCUUGCACUUCUGACGUUAGCGGCGAACGGGUGAGUAACACGUAAGGAAUCUACCUAUAAGCGGGGGAUAACAUUCGGAAACGGGUGCUAAUACCGCAUAAUAUCUUCUUCCGCAUGGAAGAAGAUUGAAAGACGGCUCUGCUGUCACUUAUAGAUGACCUUGCGGUGCAUUAGUUAGUUGGUGGGGUAAUGGCCUACCAAGACGAUGAUGCAUAGCCGACCUGGGAGGGUGAUCGGCCACAUUGGGACUGAGACACGGCCCAACCUCCUACGGGAGGCGGAAGUAGGGAAUCUUCCGCAAUGGGCGAAAGCCUGACGGAGCAAUGCCGCGUGAGUGAAGAAGGCCUUCGGGUCGUAAAACUCUGUUAUAAGAGAAGAACAAAUUGUAGAGUAACUGCUACAGUCUUGACGGUAUCUUAUCAGAAAGCCACGGCUAACUACGUGCCAGCAGCCGCCGUAA
rnacentral:rRNA from 1 species